rnacentral:tRNA from 1 species
GAUCCCGUCGUUCAAUGGAUAGGACACAAGCUUGCGGAGCUUGUAAUAGGGGUUCGACUCCUCUCGGGAUCA